AUCACAUCUCUGCCUUUUGGCUGUGAUUAAGUGUAGUAUCUGUUCUCAUCAGUUUAGUAUCUGAUACGUUUCCUACCUGGGGACCAUUUAUUAAACUGAUUUUUGAAACAGGGAGAUGAAAUAAGUGUGUACUCCAUCCAAUCCAUGCAUUGACCUGGGAUUACAGCCCCUCUUACACUGCUGAUGAA
ensembl:snRNA U2 U2 spliceosomal RNA